rnacentral:rRNA from 1 species
GAUGAACGCUGGCGGCGUGCCUAAUACAUGCAAGUCGAGCGAACGGACGAGGAGCUUGCUUUUCUGAUGUUAGCGGCGGACGGGUGAGUAACACGUGGAUAACCUACCUAUAAGACUGGGAUAACUUCGGGAAACCGGAGCUAAUACCGGAUAAUAUAUUGAACCGCAUGGUUCAAUAGUGAAAGACGGUCUUGCUGUCACUUAUAGAUGGAUCCGCGCUGCAUUAGCUAGUUGGUAAGGUAACGGCUUACCAAGGCAACGAUGCAUAGCCGACCUGAGAGGGUGAUCGGCCACACUGGAACUGAGACACGGUCCAGACUCCUACGGGAGGCAGCAGUAGGGAAUCUUCCGCAAUGGGCGAAAGCCUGACGGAGCAACGCCGCGUGAGUGAUGAAGGUCUUCGGAUCGUAAAACUCUGUUAUUAGGGAAGAACAUAUGUGUAAGUAACUGUGCACAUCUUGACGGUACCUAAUCAGAAAGCCACGGCUAACUACGUG